AUUGUGGGCCUGCUAUGAGUUCAACUGAGAUUCUGCUGUAAAUACCUCAUUUUUAUUUGCCUGGCCUUUUUGUCAUUUUGCAACAUUUUUGCCACUGUUUGCUGCUGUUUUUUGGGGGGAAUUAGUGUGAAUAAAAACCCACCACAGAGUUUUCGACAGCGCCAUCAUUUUUGUCCAGAAUGAACCCAUGAAGCAGUCAGCUGGAGCUCUCGAUGACUGGGUAUCAACUGACCACUGGUCAUCCAGGUAAAAGACUGUGGUGGAUGUCCUCAGGUUGACAUGUUGUGACUUUGUGCCUUACUGUCGUGUGAAUACAGGGCUGCCAAGUUUCAGAAAAUGACAAGAGUGAGACUUUAGCGUUAUGAUGUGUUGGCGGCGAAACAUUUUUUGCCUUUUUUAACGUCAAUUUAUACCUUAAGACUGAUGUUCUAGUUACCUCCCGUCCGCCUUCAGAAGAGCAGGUGUAUGUCGAGUGGGUUUUAAAUGUCGGUGCUGUUGUGUGUGAAAGAGAGACGUCAAGACCCGCCUUACGUUCCUUUGAUUGGUUUAUAGUGUGUGGUGCCUUCCAUGGUUGGUUGGAUUUAGGCGCAAAGGACUGAUGGAUUGGUCUGGGAUUGGUUAUCUUGGUCAGUCAAUCAGAGUGACUCGAACCACGGCAAGCCAAGUUUAUUAUCAUGAAAAAAAUAAAUACAGAGUAUUGAAUGAGAAAAUAUAAGCAUGAGAAAUUUAAAGUGUGGCAUGUAGUGCACGCUAGCUUGCUGCCUAACAUUGCCGGUGUAGUAGAAGCAGUAUUCAGCUCUCGCAUGGUAUUGUCUUUAGGGACAUAAUGAAAGCUAAUAUCAUAAUUAGGUUUCUUACGAGCAUUGCAAUCCGCUAUCGCACACACUUGUUCCGUGAUUGUCCUCUGUAUUUCUCCUCUAUAUGCAGAGUGUGGCCUGCACAGCUAGGCUUCGGGGGCGGAGCUUGGAUUGGUUACAUACGAAAUCUCACUGUUUCUGAACCUGCCAUUUGGGUCUGCCAGAGAUUCACAGGAAAUACUCAGAAAAGCAAUUAUGCAUUUAGUUUUCUCAUGGUAUAUCCUGUAGCAUCAAGAAAAAUGCCAAAUGAACAUAUAAAAAAACAUGAAAAACAUGAUUUUCAUCUGGGUGUGUCUUCAACGCCUCACAUAGGUUUUGGUCAGCCCUGACAGCAAGUUCUUGCAGCAGCAGUAGUAAAGAAGGCGGCCUUUAUUGCCUGCCAAGUGGACAGUUCCAUAAGUGUAUGAGAUUACAUGAUAUUAAUGAGAAAGGACUUGUUAGCUAGCUAGUUUGCAGGUGCACCCUUCAUUCGGCAGAACUUGUGAUGGAUAGCAAUAGCAAUCCCAACAAAGGGGGAAAUAAAUUAUAAAAUGAGAUAUAAGGCCCUCGGUUAUUUUAUUUCGCGACCACUAAUCACUGAGCAUGAGGCACAAUGUUUUCCUCCUAACAACAGCAAAAUAAGGGAAAUUUUGAUAGGCUGACGAAUUGGCUUCUGUCAUUUAACCCUUCAUAACUCAAUGUUUGCUUGGUUUGGAAUUUCCCCCUAAUAACGGGAUAUCUUAGCUUUUUUUAAAGCAUUACAGCAAGUAAAGGAAGAACUAACUGAACUGUAGACAUUGUCUUAGCAUUCCUGGUUCUCUAGCAGCAUGACUGGCUUUGAUUGAAACCAUCUAAAGCCAGCGUCUUUAGUCAAACACCAUUUUUUUCUAUAUUGAGCUUUAAUCAUAUUCAUUUAAUACCCUGGCAGCUUAUAACAAAACCUAAACGUUCCACAGAUCUCUUCCUGACAGACAAGAAGGAGAGCUCAUUUAAUCCAAUCCAGCCAUUACCAUGUCUACGGGGAAGGACUGCCUGAAACAACCAGAGAAGAAACACUGCUUCAUUAUCCUCUUUCCCAGGUGACAAAUCCUCCCUGAAUGGAGUAGAAUGUAAAAGUUUCCCCGGGACACGCUGGGCUCCUGCUCUAUUUAGAUAUACAGUGAAAGGCUGUCAGGGCGACGUGUGGCAGGUUUUGGGAUUUGCACUUAGCAUGGCGGUGCACAGAGCGGGAUGGGGAGCUGCCGGGCUCUCCCCGCGGGUGCCAGUGUGAGAGUGCAGCACAGGCAGCUGUCAGCAGAGAGGUGGCAUGUCCUGGUCUGACGCUGACAGAGGCUGUCUGCAGGCAGUAGGAGCACAGCUAGACUGACACCCUGUUUAUUCACAGAUGACACCCGGGCUGGGGAUGGGUGUCAGUGGCAUUUUGAUUCACCUAGCAAUGUGAAAACUUCCCUGAAACACUGUGUAAUGAAGUCUUUGUAGAGUACACAUAACCAGAAUAAUUGAGGAGCUCCAGUGUGUGUGGGCCCCAUCAUCCCUGCUACCCGGCUGUGCAAGGAGCUAGCAUGGCGCUCACACACAAACACACAGGCACACACAUGCACAGGGAGAGAACACAUUUUCUCACAUGAUUCCACCCACACAUUUAGACUAAAAUCUGUCCCAGAUUUGCUGCCCCCAAAAAACACAAAGAGGAAACCAAAAUUUUCUCUAGAAACGCUGGAGCAGCCGUGAAUGUAACCUAUCCUGAAAUAAAAAACCCACCUACUCACAUGACCUGUCGAACACCUGUCAGUGUCAGACUAAAUUAUCAUCUCAGCCAAUGAGGAUGUGCAUGGUUUACGCUUUCACGGUUAAAAAUAGUGCACGGUAAAAAUGUGGUAUUCUCCUUGUUAUUUCAUUUGCAGGGUGUAGUUAUACUGAUGGCAUGAUCACAACUACUGUGGACGUCUUUGGCAAAUCUUAACAAUCAGAAAAGUAUGAAAAAAAACAGCAGUUUAUAACCUCUAAUUUCAGCUGCUUGAUGCCUAUUUUACAGGAGCUGUGCACUUACAAUUAUCAGGAGGACUGUGGGUCAGAGUUCAGUAGAAAGUGGGUCACUCAGCUGAUAUCGGUGAGUAACAUUUGGGGCAUGAUUUUGCUUUCUACCUUGGGUACCAUGUUGGCUGUGUUUGCUUUUCAGUCUGUUGUGUUCGUAAAGAUGCAGUGGUCCCAGUGGUACAGUGUUAUCCAAGGAUGUUGUGUCAUUUUUAUUUGCACCAGAAGUUUACAUUAUAUGCUUUAUGAAAAGUUUCAUGAUGCUGAGUCUUCGAGUGGGAUGAUCUGAUGAUAUAAACAUGAAAAUAAUCUGUGAUGGUGCACCUGAUGAAACACUUUAACUGGUGGUUUAUGACACACAUACACGUGCAUGUACUAUACCCUCUGGGAAUAUUCAGAAGGUUUACAAGGAGACAAGCUUUGUGCACAGUUCGCAGCCACUAGCCGAGACUUAUCUAUCGUCGGGGUUGACAAUGAAACCUAAAGUAUCGUUCUGUCAUAAAGUAACUGAGGUUGGUAAAUUAAUCAAAGCAUAUCUUAUUCAAAACACAAACACCGCCUGGGGUAAACUGCAUUUCCCAUGAGCCCCAAAUGCCACACAUGACAGUUAUAAGACCAUGCUUCAUAUUGCUCAGAUGAAAAUAAAUGAUUUGUUUGCAGCCAGAGAUCUCAGAGUGCUUUCAAACUGUUGGUUACUUUUGGGGGCACAUAUUUUUGCAAAGGCAGGUUUAGUGCUCUUGUGUGCAUUAAAUCAAAGUACUGUUUGCUACUGGAUGUUAAACCAGAGAUGAGACGUUCUCUAUGUCGUAAUCUACAAGAUUUUGAAAAGCUUCACCAAGAUAUUUAAGCUCAGCUGUCCCAUUAAAAACUGUGGAUUUAGAGAGACAGUGAUAAUGUAUUAAAGACAUGACAAGCUCUCAGAGUGUAGCACCUUUGUACUAAAGUGGUCUGUUUGGCAAUGCUGCAGGUACUUAGUCUCUAUUGGUGCACUAAUCUCACCCUGGCCCCUCUGCCUCAGUUAACUUGAUUACUUGCAACACAGUGUAAAAUCUAUUACAUGAUUGAAAUUCAAUGAAAUUUCAUCCACUUUGAAUGUCUGGAGCUGCCAUAGGUUCAUGACAUCUAAUUGAAGUCACAAGCCAAUAAAGAGGCACCAUUGCAUUAGCCUAUGAAGAAUCAGCCAUCGCUGUAGCAGACUGUUUGCACUGAAUCACCGAAUGCAAAAAGGAGGUUGUAGUGACUUUACUGACCUGAAUUUUAGUCACUGUCUGGGUGCGGGAGUGAGGUGUUUUUGAUGUGCUUCUAGUACAAUCCAAUGUCCAAUCCAAGGUUGUUGUUGAGAUAUAUUUUUGCCAUUUAUUGAUUAAAUGAAAAACAAAUGAAAAAAGACAAAUACGUCUAACUUACUAUGAUGGUGACGUUCGUGAUGAGGGUGAGAGUGGUGUCAGAGAUUAGCGGUAAAAACCGUGUGCUCUUCCCGUUCCCCAGAUUACCGCUUCACCUGUGUCCCUUAGUAGCAUUUACGUGCCAAUUCACCUGAAGUGCCCCUUGUGGUGAUUGUAUGAAUAACAAAACAAAACCCCCAGAAUAAUAUAGAUAAAAUGGCUCAUACAGAGGUCCUUGGGGAAGUUGUCAUGAGUGGUGUCUGAGGGGUUGUUUUAUUCCAUUUAAGUUAUUGUUCUUCAAGCUCAGUAGCUCUCUUGAAAAAAAAACAAUUUUUGCUAUCCAAUCCUCGUCAAGGGUGGGCAUGUACCAAGAUUCUGCAUAUUCAUGAAGACAAAUGUGUUCAAUGGAUUGUGCGUGGUAAUUUGCUCAUUUGACAGACACAAUCUUCGGUACACCUGGUUUGUAAGUCAGCUUUGCGCGCGCUAUCAAGUUUGCACAUGUUUUUAUUAAAUGCAAACUUUUGGUAGAUCAGGCUUUAUGAGAUUAAAAAAGGAGGCAAACUAGAAAAAAAAAAGUAUAAAAACCAACAAAGUCUCAACACAACACAAAUAUUUGGUUUAAACAACAAUCUCUGUUUUAAUGUGACUUUUCACUGCAAUGUUAACAUGUAGCUCAGGAAAUCCAUUCUACUAAGUCACCAGAAGAAAUAAGCUUGAGUCCAUUAACACAAAUGUGCUGAAAAGGUCAAAGGUCACUUCAAAGAGCUGAGCUCCAUUAGCUGCAUGUUUCAUCUGAACGGCAUGUAAGAGAGCUCCAGUGAAAGAUGAGAUGUCUUUGAGUGGCAGAAACACUAUUUUAGGAUGAGCUUAGACAUCAUUUGAACUGUUGUAAUGUUCAUGUGUGUACCAGACUGAAGUCCUUUAAUUCAGUACACACACACAUGCACAUGCAUGCACACACACACUAUCCAAACCAGGUAUCUGAGUAGAUACCUGAUUUGUUUUCACUACUCAACCCAACAGACUGAUUUUAAAGCAGGUCUCUAGCCAAGGUCCCCCCUGCUCAUUCACUGUAUGAAAAGAUGGAAGAUAUGACAACUUUAACAAAAAAGUGAAGCCAAAAACCUUUAGAGCAUCCUUUAGUGACUGUCCAGCCUGCCUGCACCAUGUCACAGAUUGGCCAAAGUAGAAAUUCCAAUUCCACGUCAAAUAUCUUUUUUCUAAAACAUAAAUUAUGUCUAUAGGGAGGUCUUACCAUGCUAAAUAAUAUAAGGUUGCUGGUGAACGACUCCAGUGUAUAGGUCAAUGUAAGUUGAUUUCUUCAUGGAAAUGCAAUUAGACUGCUGGAAGAGAGUAGGUGAGUUGUGUUUAGUCUCUUUGCUGAAAAAAAUAGGUAAAGUUUAAAAGAUGUUUGAUGGCUAGUGCUAUGGCUGGGACCCGUACUGUUGAUGAAGUUAGGUGCUGUUGUGAGCAUUAUAUGUGGCUAUAGAGUGGCGUUUUGUUUGAGGUUUGUUUAUGGCUCCUCAGACUACUGUGUAUUGCUAUUGGUCAUUACUUAAGUUGGUAUAACUAGAGAAGCAAGAGGUCGGCAACAUUCAUCUCUCGAGGGGGUGUCUAACUCGGUGUUACGGCGUGUUUGACCCUAAAUUAAUUUCACACCGGAAUAUCCCUUUAAUUUGUCCAUUACUGUCUCUAGACAGUUGUUUUCAGUGUGAUUCACAGAGAAGACAUCUGUGAUGUGCACAGAGAUCAGAGCUAUAGUGUUAAUGUUACUGAUGAAAAUUAUGACGAUUAAGAUUCAUCAGUGAACAAAUAUUUGUGAAUUACAAAGAAUGCUGAUCCAGCAUAACCUAUCACCUGAUUUGAGGUUAGUGCUUGAACUGAGAUCCAAAAAUUGAUUCUCGUUUUAUGGAUGCCUUGGUUGAAUUGCCAGGGUCUUUGGGAAAUGAUCUGUCAAGGCAAAUAUUUGAGCCAAAUUGAAUCAUGAUCGGUAGGUAAUCUGUCAGAGAAAGGCACUGAAAUGCAAAAAUGAAAGGUUGAGUGCAGGCUUCGAUUAAAUAGCAGUCCUUUAAAAUUUACCUGAAUAAUCAUCAAAUAUACACAUCACAUAUGCACUAAAAUGUGAAGAUCGAAACAAAACCGUAUGAAAAAAACGUUUUUAUUUCUCAGGUUGGUUUCUAGUAGGGGUGUCCCGAUAUAACUUUUUUUUUACUUACGAUACAAUACAGAUAUUGUAGCCUUCAGUAUUGGCUGAUAUCAACAUUGAUCCAAUAUUGGCACAAAAUUGUGCAUGACAAGUUUUGCAAUCUGCUGCAGCGUCUUUUUCGGACUUCAACGAAAAAUACUGCCACACGGCUGGCAUCACUCCCACUCCUUGCUACUUUGUUAGUACCUUAUUACACACUGUUGUUGUGAUCACAUGGGCUCUGCAUGCUGGAUCAGGGUGCUGCUAGAUAGAGGUGCUGGAGCGGAGUCUGGAAUGGACUGCUAGUAUCAGAGACUUUAGAUGCAGGCCGAUAUAAUCCUAUAUUUGUUUUUUUUUUUUGCUGAUAUCAGACUGAUCUCCAAUAUCCGUAUCAGAAUCGGGACAUCCUCAGUUCCUGCUUUUAAGACUUUUCUCAGGGUAAGACUUUGUCGGCUUGCAAGACAUUUUCAAAUAUCACAAAACAUUAAACAUCUUUAACAAAUAUAGAUAUUUAUAACCUUGAAUAGCACUGUAUUUCUGUGCAUAUACUUAACUGAAUAAUAAUCAAUCUUAGUGCUUAGAAUUAUUUCAUAUUAGUUGUGUGGCUUAUGCUCUUUCACAGAUAAAGAUAACAGUGUUGUUGUCUUCAACAUGCUGCACACAUGAAAUGCAAAAAGGAACGAUAGAAUGAAUAUCUGAGUUUCCUAUCUACAAUAAGGCAGACACACACACAACAUGCACAAACACACACCCCGUAGGAGCACAGCUAUAAAUAAAGUCAGCUCAUAGAGCCAAGGAGCAGUGGCACAUGAUUUGAGGGAACGUGCACAUGAGAAAGGUUACAACCAGCUAGUGGCCCAUUUAUCUUGUUUGGAUACAAACUACUUGAUUCCCCAAAUGAGUAGUGAGGAAUCCCGUGACAUCAGCACUUAAUCACAGCCUGUUCACCAUUAUAAAUCAGUUGAACUACUGACACCUGAACUUUAUUCUGUGCAAACUGUAAAGGCCACAGGCACAGGCUCACACUAUUAGCGGCAGGCUGAUCCAUUGUGUGUGCAUUCAGGUCAGAAAGCAGGGCACAGGAUGCACUCUGCAUGUGUCGCUUGAGCUUUGUAAGAGAAACAAAACAUGGCAAGGGGGAGAACACCAAAAUGGAUGAGUGAUUUCAGGACAAAGGGGAUUUUUUCUUUUAUUGUUUUAAAUAGAUAAAUAAAUAAAUGCAGAAAAUUUGGAGAAAAAUAAUUGAAUUUUUUUUUUUAAAUGAGGAAAUUUUAGUACGUUAUUAUGGUGGUUUGCCGCCAUGUUUUCAGAUUUUAGGAUCCUAGCUGUACCUGGACCAACUUACAGGCAAAGAUCAUGAUGUAUUAAAAAAUCUGUAAUUCAUUAAAAAAUUUUUCUAAACUUUGACACACAGCUUCAGACUAGGGAUUCAACAAUUAACAGCUUUAAUUGUAAGGUUGAUUAAAAAUGACCAAUUACUGAAUCACUUCCACUGCACUAAGUACUUCUGUCGUCACUCUCGACAAAAACAGCCAGUACAUGUUUGGCUAAACCUGCAUGUACGAUAUUGAUUGAUUGAUUGAUUGAUUGAUUGAAGUUUAUUUUGAACAUAUAUACAUAUAUAUAUAUAUAUAUAUAUAUAUAUAUAUAUAUAAUAACAAUUUAAAAAAGUUAUAUUACCAGUUCUCUGCGCUCUCAGCGUUACACCAAGAUGUAGCUAGAGUUGCAGCAUCAGCUUUAGACUUAGAAAAACAGACUUGGUAGAAAUUGAAUAUACAUAAGUAUAUUCAAAUUAGUGUAACUCAAAUAUCAAAUCAUUUACUUUUGAUCCUGUGAUGAGUCUUUUAUAUCUACAUAAAGAAAAGGUCCACUUCCAUGGAGGCAGUCAUGUUGAACUGGCAUGUUUUUGUCAUAGCAGAUAACACACACACACUAAGACAAACAAACACGUUCAGAAAGUUGUUCUUAUGUGCAAAAUACUUUGUACUGAUGGACUCUUUUGAUGGUAAAAACUUGACAUGAAGGACCAUUGAAGGCUACAGUUGUUUCACCAACAGAAGGGGAAAGCAAGUUUUUACAUACUGUGCAUUUAAUUGCAAUUUGAUUAUUAAUAACAUUGUGUGAGAGAUAUUUUCACUUUAUUUUUAAGCAUUUUUACCAAACUUCAAACAAACCAAUUACACUAAUAUGCAGGAUUUUCUUCGGCCACUUCUUGGGUUAGAUUAAUCAUUGAAAAUUGAUGAAUAAAAACAGACAUGGAUAACAGUAAAAAAUGUUGACACGUAAGGGCAGAAGUAUUUUUUUUCUUUGAUGGUCUGUUAAGUUCAACUUAGUCUUCAUCUAGUCUAAAAAAAAUACAGAACUAGAUUUGUGAAACUAGUGAAAGCACAACAUUGAUGGAAAUCAUGAAUAUUCCUCACACUAUAUUGUACAUUAAAAAAUCUUUGAUUUUUGCAUCUCUAUCUCUAAAGAUGUAGGCCUUUCAUAUAGUUCUGUAGUAUUCAUUGUUGUCACAGAGUUUGUGUGUUUUUAUUGUAGUGAAGGAACAUCACAUGAGUGAAGCUUUGUGACUCAGCCAAUGAAGAAGUAUUGUUCAAGAGCAGCUAGCACAUAAAGGUUUUAAAGCACAUAUAGGUCAAGAUUACUAAUCCCUGAAGUUACACACAGCAUUAAAGUAUGGUGUGAUUUGGUGUGAUUGCACCUGUGAAGUGUGUAUGUGUUCACAUGUGUCUUUGUCUCAUGUUCGUGAAGUGUCAGUCACGUCUCUUGAUUCAUCAAUAACGUGUGUGUGUGUGUGUGUGUGUGUGUGUGUGUGUGUGUGUGUGUGUGUGUGUGCGCUCUGCAGCAGCUUGUUGGGUUGAGUUGUAAAGCCUUGUCCCCGCUUGUCCAGCCUUUAUGUGCUUCAGACAAUAGGCAGACCUCCCAGCAAUGCAGCUGGGCCUGGCCCUCCACACAACAGCACCCUGUCAUACACUGUAAAACUAUCCUCUGCUUAAAUUGACCCAUCUGAAUCUGUAUGUGUUUGUUUUACAGCAACCAAUUUCAAGCGUCAUCAGCUUGCAUUAGUGUAAUUCCAUAAAAACAGUGAAAGUUAUGAUCUCCUUACUGUUAUGUUUCAGUGGUUUCUCUAAAAAACAAGCAUAAAAGUCUAAAUGAACUGUCUCAAGGGGGCAGCAGAGGCAGGCCACUUCAACAAAAUACUCCUCCUUCGCAAAAAAGAUUUGAAAUCCAAACUAAGUCAGCAAGAGCGUAACAGCUCAGAGGUCUUUUCUUCUACUCAGCAAAGGUAAAAAAGUAUGGAAGUGAGUUUUGUUGUGAUGCUGUGGUCAGAGAUUGGGUCUGUUUGGUUGAGCGACAUGUGGCCAAAAUCAUUUAUGUUAUUUUUUGAUUUAUGUUAUUCAUUUUUGGGGUUAACAACUUAACAAAAAACCCUAAAACUUCACAUGACUGCUAACUGCAAUUUUAACAUCCAUCUCUAAUGAGGCGUUCACACCAAGGGAAAAGUCAUCUACUCGCUAAUUUGGCGCUAAUCUAGAUGCGUGAAUGAGUAGUAUUUACUCGCUUCAUUCGCGCAUCAACGGUAAUCUCUGCCAAUUCAACCAGCGGGAUCAAGUGAUAGACAAAGGUUUCUUACAAUUUACCAGGUAAUCCGACCUCCUCACCCACUUGCCUCCAGUUGAGCUCCUUUUAAUUCCAGAUUCGGUAAUUGAGAUAAAGGUAUCAUAUAAUUCGGGCAACCACACACUGACACUCACUUUGUCCUCUAUUUUAGAUACAAGUAGACAACCGUACGUUUUCAUAUGUCAUCUGGCAACCUUUGUGCUGAGUAGUUAUCGUGACGCGAAUAUCUGCUCAAGUUGAGGCAUUUUCAGCUCCCGCCCAAUUCGCAUCAUUCGCACUGCUAUAGUAGGAGCAUCUAAUCGCGUCUUUGCAUUGACUUUGUAACAUGUAAUUCUUUAGCGCUGAUAAUUUUCCUUUCGUAUCAUGUGUGUAGACAGUAAAUGUUCCGUUAUGUCUGUCAGAACUUCUUUUCAGAAAUUCUAAAAUCUUGUUCAACUCUAUCUGAAAUCAAAUCAAAGAAAUUUUCAUAGUUUUAGCACAUUGUUUCAAACAAUACACGAUUUUACAGAUUUUAACAACAUCCUAAAAUGCAAAACUUGAAUUAUUCGUCUAAAAGUCUUCUUCUUUUUUGCAAAUAUUGGAUGUUUGCAAAAAAUAUUUUUACAGUGUAGUCACCGGGCUCCUGUACUUGGGAAAAGUUCUUGGUGAUUCAACUGUCACUCAUGGGCGGCCAAAAGCCUGGUGAAAGGCUCUGUGCCGGCUGAGUGGUGAGCAUUUCUGAGGCCCAGGCGGGUGGGGAAGAAAGGCCUUUGUUCAGGGCUUCCCACUCCACCGGCCUGCUUUUGGGCUCUCUGGAAAUGGGGCCACAGUAAACAAACAAUAUGUCCCGAUGAAUGGAUAAUGAUGCACAUGUUUACUGAGUGAAAUUUCUGCAGCACAUUCUCUGUUCACUCAGCAAAAAAGAGGAGGCGCGCAGAAAAAAGAGGGGUUUCAAUUCCUGCGGCGCAUCUUUUAUUUGUGUCGCAUGAAAGAAAAGACGAAUUGUAAUUGUCAGUUAUAUGCAGUGUCAGUUUUACCUAAAGAUGAACUGGUGUUUAGUUCUUUCAACAUCGGUUGUCUUACCUUUUUGUGAUAAAAAUCCCAAAUCACAACCUCUGACAUACUCAAAGACAAAAACACAAAGUAGAAUUCAACAACUGCAGAAAUUAUAGAUUUGUAAUUACUUCUGAAGACUUGAACUUUCUUAAACAGUUUUAUCUAAUUCUAUUUCUAGUUUCUAAAUCGUGCAUUUUGGAAGGAUUUGUGUUUUUCCACUCAUGCAGAAAGGCCUGACAACACUGAUUGACUCCAUGUGCACUCAAUCACAGUUUAUUGUCAUGAGAUAAACGCCUGCUGGGAAUAAAGGUGUUUCCCCGUUUAUCAGGAGGGAUUAAAACAUCAGGCAGACAACAUCAACAGAUUGGAGGGGACUGCAGAACAUCUCCUUUGUCCCACACAGGCCGGGGGAACUGGGCUGUAUUGUUCUGUAUGCUGCACAUCGGGAGGCUCAGGGUCUUUGGCGCACCGGAAGAGAGCCUGGGAACAAUAGGGCCGCACACAAAUCCCUCUCCUCACCUCACAAGGGCCCCUGCCUUCCAUUCCCAUGCCAGAGAAGCGACGGGCUCAGGGGGCAGCCCAUCAAAGUCACUUGACUCAGGAGAGCUCCUCUCACUAAGGUAGGGGGCAAUAUCCUCUCUGGGGCCAUUAAACACAAGCACCACAGAGGGUACUUGUUCCAGGUCUGAAGGACUCUGUCUGCUCGUUAAAUUCUGGCUUCCUUGUGAUUCUUCUCAAGUAAUCAUCUGAGACAUUUUCAUAGAAGAAGGUGUCUGCUGCUGCUCUAGUGUGACACAAGUUUUACAUCUGCUGUCUUAUGGGGUUUAUUUUGGAUCCAAACUGGCUACUGAAGAUAUUCACCAGCUAUGACCAUGCAGAAACCUCCUGUGCGGUAGAUGAAGCCAGCGCAUAAAACCUGCAGUACUCAGUGUGUGUCCAUUUGAGGUCAACUCAAAAGGUCAGGAGAGUUCAGUCACAGUCCACAUUAUGAAGUCAACUUCUACAGCAGAAUCAAACAUGUUUACAUAUGGUGUUGUUGUUUAAAAUUGUAUUAAACUUUUUUAUCACUCAAACCUCAAAUAAGGCGCUCACACCAAACGCAAGUAAAUUCAACUACUCGCUUAAUUCGUGCAAAUCUAGAUGUGUGAAUGAAUAGUAUUUACUCGCUUCAUUCAUACAUCCACGGUAAUUUCAAUGGUAAUCCCUGCCAGUUCAACCAUUGGGAGCAAGUGAUAGACAAAGGUUUUUUACAAUUUACCAGGUAAUCCGACCUCCUUACUCACUUGCCUCCAGUCACGCUCCUUUUUAUUCUGGUUUCGGUAAUUGAAAGAUUAGGUAUCGUAUAAUUCGGGGCACCCACACACCGACACGAUCAGUUUGUCUUCCAUUUUAGAUACCAGUGAACAACCAUCCAUUUUCAUACACCACCCGGCAACUUUCGUGCUGAUUAGUAAUUGCAACUCUAAGUUGAGACAACUCAGCUCCCGCCCAAAUAGCAUCAUUCGCGCUGCCAGAGUAGUAAGAGUGUCUAAUCGCGUCUUAGUCUUGACUUAACAUGUAACUCAGUCGCGGAAAUAAUUCUACUUGCGCUUGUUGUGUGGAGACAGUAACAGCUGCCACCUCAGGUCACAUGGCAGCAUUUUGUAUGUCAUUCCUUAAACUCGUGUUCUUUGCUAAUGGUGCUUUCGUUUUGGUUUGAACUACAACAUUAGCUUAAACUAGCAUGUUUUACAGUACGGUACAUGCACAUGUGUUUUCUCUGCCGAUUUAAUGUAAUUUCUGCUCAGUGUAGUUUGUCGAUUUCUCUCUAAUAAAAGAGAUUUAAGAUUA